rnacentral:lncRNA from 1 species
UUUUUUGGUAGAGAAAAAUCACAAAGUAGAAGCACCAUCAAUGUCAACUUUAACCCAACCUCUACCACCUCUGAUUUUUCCUCUGCAAUUCCCUCUCCGAUCUUCUGCAUGAUUGCCUCUCCAUAUUCACCCACUGCUCUUUGAACUUUUAUUAGUGUCAGCAAAGCAUCAGGAGCUUUCCCAUUUAUACUGAACUACACAUCUAGCUUUCCAAAUAUUCCAACAAGUAAAAGGCACAGUUGUAGGUAACAAUAUCUUCUCUUUGCCCGUCACUUGUUCCAUAUCUAGGACUUCUCUCAACCACUGACCAAAGGUUGUAAUUGCCCUUUGAUCAACUUUUUAUCCUAGACAAGUGCCAAACCACACAGCUUGCACCCAUUCACACUAAAGUAACAAAUAAUUGAAAUGUCAAACCAAUUAUAACAUAAUUGGUCUAUGUAAAAAUAAUAUUAUGCAUUCUAUCAUCCAAAAAAAAUUACAAUUUUGUAUAUAAUCUUUCAAAAGUUUUGUAUUUGCCCAUAAAAUUUUGGGUUUAAGGAGGGAAAAAAUUUUGGCUUAGUCUAGUCUUGUUUUCCUUUAGAUAAGAAUCUGGUUUUUCUGUUCAUCUGUUCAUGGAGGGCAGCAGAUGUUACUAUGGAAACUCCAAUUCAGUGUAAAUUCGUACCUGGAAUUCAAACAAGAUCAAGUGCCUAUAGUCUCAUUCAUGCUGCUUCCUGGUCCAAACUGCACUACUCUCAUCAGAUCUGGAAGAAAAAAAGAAUUAACAUUAACAUCAAGAAAUGGGAGAAGAAGAAGAAGAUCAUGCAAGUUAAAGCUCUUCGGGUGUUUUUGGGGUGGGUGAUGCUGAUCAUGCCAGAAACAUGGAAUCAAAGGAAAACAUUCAACGAAGCUAGAGAACUGUAUAUUGCAGAGAGAAGAGCUGCAGUGAAAACCACUGCCUUUCCUUAUCUUUUAGCUACACUAGAAGACUCUGUAAUGUUGACUUCAAAAAGCUAGUCUUCGUAUGAUCAAAU